rnacentral:rRNA from 1 species
UAAUACGGAGGGUGCGAGCGUUGUCCGGAAUCACUGGGCGUAAAGGGCGCGUAGGUGGCGCGGGCAGUCAACGGUGAAAGUUCGGGGCUCAACCCCGAAUCGGCCGUCGAUACUCCCGGGCUUGAGCACUGUAGAGGCAGAUGGAAUUCCGGGUGUAGCGGUGGAAUGCGUAGAGAUCCGGAAGAACACCGGUGGCGAAGGCGGUCUGCUGGGCAGUAGCUGACACUGAGGCGCGACAGCGUGGGGAGCAAACAGGAUUAGAUACCCUGGUAGUCCACGCCGUAAACGAUGGGUACUAGGUGCUUGGGGGAGCGACCCCCUGAGUGCCGGCGCUAACGCAUUAAGUACCCCGCCUGGGGAGUACGACCGCAAGGUUG